CUACGGGACGCUGCAGUGGGGAAUAUUGCACAAUGGGCGCAAGCCUGAUGCAGCCAUGCCGCGUGUAUGAAGAAGGCCUUCGGGUUGUAAAGUACUUUCAGCGGGGAGGAAGGGAGUAAAGUUAAUACCUUUGCUCAUUGACGUUACCCGCAGAAGAAGCACCGGCUAACUCCGUGCCAGCAGCCGCGGUGGAAUACGGAGGGUGCAAGCGUUAAUCGGAAUUACUGGGCGUAAAGCGCACGCAGGCGGUUUGUUAAGUCAGAUGUGAAAUCCCCGGGCUCAACCUGGGAACUGCAUCUGAUACUGGCAAGCUUGAGUCUCGUAGAGGGGGGUAGAAUUCCAGGUGUAGCGGUGAAAUGCGUAGAGAUCUGGAGGAAUACCGGUGGCGAAGGCGGCCCCCUGGACGAAGACUGACGCUCAGGUGCGAAAGCGUGGGGAGCAAACAGGAUUAGAUACCCGCGUAGUC
rnacentral:rRNA from 1 species